UCUUAGUAGGGUCGGGUUGUAGGUUAAAUUAUUUUUUAUGAAAAUUCGAUUAACCGAAAACCCUAUUGGGUUGACCUGGUUAACAGCCCUACAUCCGAACCAUGGGUCUUUUUUCUAAGUAGAAAUGUUAAUUUUGGACUAGGCUCGUGAAUAGUGUCAAUCUUGAGCCUAGCUGAAACCAGUUGUUUCCAGCCGAUCCUCUUCGAUGUUUAGCGCUAGUUUUUUCCACUACAGGCCCGUGUCCUCUCUGCUUACUGUUCUUAUCAGCUUGCCACAUUUUGAACGGAUUCCAGAUUGGUAUUCGAUUCCUCGAUUUUGCGUCGGGUUCCACUUCUAUACCAUCGAUUCUGUCAAUCGACUUUCAUUUCUAUUGGACUCCACGAUUUUGCGUCUUCCCUAAAAGGGUUUCGCCUUUAUAGCACCGUCAGUUGCAGUCGGGUGGAUUUCGCCGUUGAUUGCAGCCAGGUGGAUUUCAUGGUUGUUCCGUUGGAUUUAUGGGUUGAUCGCUUCCUCGAUUUUGCGUUAUCUCUCGCUUCUUUCUGUUCGUUGGUAUGUUCUUUCUAUGGUUUUCGAUUGUCGGCUUUAUUCUCUGCUUUGAUUCUUUUCUGUUUGAUGUUUCUUUAUAUAUCUUGGUGUUUGUCUUUGAUUGCCUCUUCGAUUGAAUCCUUUACAUUCUUUAUGCUUCGAUUUGUUUUUGACAUAAUCUUAAAAAGGAAUCUAUUUCACCUAAUCCACACAUGAUUUGUAGGUUUAUAUCAAUAUGAUCACCAACUGUUUGAGUUUAUUCCUUAAAGAACUUUUGUUUAUAUAAGUCCUUACAAUUUCAUACUUUAAACAUGACACUGAUAUAUUAUAUGGGAAAAUGAAAGCAUACAAUCUCUCUUCCCUGGCAGAAUUCUUACCUGAAGUAGAGCCUUCAAAGCAACCAACCAACUUUAAUAUUGAAUUCCUUAUUUGAUUCCUAGAAAGUCUUGAUUGAAAAAUACAAUGCUUUAACAAGAAAAAAUAUACAUUUUAACAGAUUAAGGAUUAUGAAAGUAUGAUGCUAUAUUAGCAAAACAAAUGGAAGUACGUUGUUAUACGUUGCAUUUACUCCUUGCUUGGUUAAAUGCAAAAAAUAGUAAUGCAUUUUCAUUUGUUUAUCAAAUUAUACGACCUAACUUUGAUUUUAUUUGUUAAUUUAAUUCAAUGGUUUAUUAACAAAAAAAAUAUUUAGAGUAAAAUUUCAAAACUUAGGAAUUAGAAGCAAAGUAUGAUGUUGUAUUAGACAUAAAAGUGGAAGUUCAUAUUUAUAUCUUUUGUUCGUCACACAACAACUAGCUCAGAAGCUGAUCAAAACCUAUGAAGAAAUGAUCCAGACUAUUAAAGGAUAACCAAUAAACAUAUCACAUUCAAUUUAACGAUGCUUAUGUCUUUAGUUUAUUGUAGUAACCAACUGUUUUGGAAACCUUUUGUAUUGCCCUCAAAUGUAAUGGAAAAAGCUAUGAAUUCGAAGCAAAUCUUACAAAAGACUUACUGGCCCAUGUGGAGCAUGGGUCUCCCACUAGUUCUAAUUAACAAAAGAAAUGAUACAAUAUACUAAAAACGUUUCAAAAUAUUUUUUUAAAAAGCAAUGACAGAAAUUUUAGCUUCUCUCAAAGUUGGGCUAAAAAAAAUUACUGUUUUUGACAAAAACAAGAUGGAUUUCAAAUUUCGGUUAAAACCGGUAAAAAACUAAAAGUUGGAUGUGAUUUUAGAAUUAUUUAAAAAUAAAUAAAAAGAAAAACAACAUAAAGGAGAUGUAGCUGGUGUUGGCGGGUUUCGAACACUCAUCAUCCUUUACAAUAAUAACCAAAACGCUUACCAUUAAGUUUGGAAAGAUUAUAUUAAAAUACAUGCAAACAUUAACUUUAAUAAUCUUUUAUUUUCACUCAUUCUUCAAAAAACUUAGGACAUUGUGAUCAUUCACUUCUUAAUUUUAAUUUUAAUUUUUUUAAUAUUUUUAUAUCAAUAUUAUGUCUUUUUGUAGAGUUUUAAAUAAAUUUUAAUAUAUUUAAAUAAUUUUAGUGUAUAUAUUAUUUAAUAAAAUCUAAAAAAAAAAUGUAAAAGAAAUCAGACAUUGGCUAAUAAGACGAAUAAAGGAGCUGGGAAGGAUCUUCACAUGCUGAUUCACCACACCCGAAACUGCACUGACGGUGUGGUGUUCCUGGGUGCGGUUUCGUCCAGCUCAGCACACCGCAUGAUGCGGUUCUUAGUACACCGACACACCAUGCAUGAAUGACUAGCAGCAGUGGCACCAAAAAAAAUCUCAAUCAAUUAUAAUAACAUAAAAUUUUAAAAAUUACAAGUGCAUUAAAUAUAACCAAUUAGUAGUUAAAGAACUUACAUUUUAAAUUUGACAUCUAUGUGUACAUAUUUUUUUAAAGCGAUCAAUUACAUCUUCGAUCUUAACUUUCAUAAAGGCAUCUUUUUCAGCAUCACAAAUCAAGGCAUUGUUCAAAAAAAUCAUCACAUUUUAUUAGGCAAAUCCGUCUUCAAUAACUUCAUCGAGGAAAAACGUAUUUCUAGUGUUGCGGUCGCGACGGGUAAAACUAAAAUCAAUUUUAAUGACCUAUAAAACCAUAGGAUAAGAACGACGUUUUUUCAUUUCCACCAUUAAAUGAGAAAGGCCGAUAAUUCCCUUCAAGCUAGCGUACUAGUCAUCUUUAUGCAAAGAGUAAUAACAUAUCUCAAACCAUCAAAUUGCAUCCUCUGGGAAUCAUUGAAAUUAUUUUUGUACAACUCACUCAACCUCAAAACUUUGUUUUGUCAAAUUUAGCAAAUAAAUCACAUGGACUCGAAGUCCCCAUCUAUUGGGUGUUUAUUUCACUAAAUCGGUCUCGUAUUCUAAUUAGAUGUUUAUUUCACUAAAUUGGUACCCGAAUUCUAUAAUUUGCAUAUCCACAAUAGUAACUUCAAAAUGAAAUUAUAGUAUUUUUGGUCUUACAGCUUCUCAUAGUGUAAUUUGCAUAACCACAAUGAUGUUCAACUUCAAAAUGAAAUUAUAUUAAUUUUGGUCCUACGGCUUUUCGGAGUGACAUGAUUUCCGAUCACAUCCACAAUAUUCAUAUUAUGUUUUUGACAAAAAGAGAAUACUUUCGACGGAGUUUUAUCAAACCUCAUGUUUCUUAAAGAUUUCAAUACAUUCAUCGUCUCUCUAACCAAAGAAGUCACUUCUAAAAUGUCUUGAUUUUUUUUUAAGAUGCUUUGACAAUACUUCGUUUGGUGUAAAACUUCAUAUAUCAAAUGUAAAUAAAACACGAAAUCAAGUGUUUUGAAAUAUAUUAAGAUAUUGUAUGCUUGAUUUCAGUUAUUUAAAGUGGAUCACUCAUCUUCAACAUAAAAAAUAACUUCCGCAAAUAAGUUCAUCAAACGUUUGAUUGUUUUGCAAUGUGAACCCAAUCUUGUAUAUCCCACUCAAAUAAGAGAAAUCUAUCGAUAUAACUCUCUUCCGAUUUCAAGUUCACCGUUAUCAAUUUCAUUUUGCACCUGUAACUCUCCUCCUGUAACAUGUCUUUUCUUUUACAUGAACCACAUACCACAUUAACCGGCAAAGAAAUUUUCUUAAAGAAGUCUUCAACACCAUCGUGGUUUUGUGCUACACCCAUAAUAACUGACUAAACUUUGUGUGCAAAGCAAUGUAGAUAAUGUGUUGAAUCAUUAUCUUGUAAUAUCAAAACUUUCAAAUUGUUGAAUGAACCUCGUAUAUUAGUUCCCUAUCAUAUUUUCCUCUUGAUGGUUAUUAUAACAUUUGAAUGUGUUUCAUAUGGAUUGAGCUUCAAUUAUCGGUGACGUCAGUAUUUACGUGAAGGAGCUUCUAUAAGAAUCAAUGAUUUUCAUAACGAACUAGAGGCAACAACAUAGUGGUCUUUAAUUCAAAAUUCAUCAAGCUUUCAUCCAUUGACACCCACACGUCAGUGUUUCCUCGACAUGUGAAAGAAUGAUUGUGUAUGAGCAUUGCUCCUAUCCCUAAAAACCACCCCGCAAAGGUGGAGGUACGCAAGAAAGAAAGGAUGAGUGUUAACAUCUACAUGUUGCGUGGUGUCAACCAGGGAUGUUGCGAUCGACAUUGAGGGCUUCAGAUAAACUUGGGAUGAAUAUUUAGCAACCACUAAUAAGUUGUUUAGAUAGGUUUUCUUUGGAUGUAUUUCGAGCCAUCAAUUUCAUUUUGUAGAAACCACAUGUUGAAUGCUUCCAUGAAGGUCUCGAAGGAGACUACAAAGUGCAACGGUGGAGAGACAAUUUAAGUCGAUUAAAAAGGAAUUAUUUACCAUGCCAUCAAA